AAAAAAUACGGUAUUAAAUAGUCUAGGGAGGUAAUAGGUCCUUAUGAAAGUUUAGUAUCGCAACAACAAAUCCGACCAAAGUUGGAGUAUUUUUCAGACCCUUAUCCCUAAAACUAAAGAACAAAUAUUCAAUAUUAUUGUCAUUCUUAGUGUUGAAUUGAUUUUCUUUUUGCAUUAGUAUUAAUUUGAUUUUGAUUUAAGC
rnacentral:lncRNA from 1 species